AGUGAACGCUGGCGGUAGGCCUAACACAUGCAAGUCGAACGGCAGCACAGUAAGAGCUUGCUCUUACGGGUGGCGAGUGGCGGACGGGUGAGGAAUACAUCGGAAUCUACUUUUUCGUGGGGGAUAACGUAGGGAAACUUACGCUAAUACCGCAUACGACCUACGGGUGAAAGCAGGGGAUCUUCGGACCUUGCGCGAUUGAAUGAGCCGAUGUCGGAUUAGCUAGUUGGCGGGGUAAAGGCCCACCAAGGCGACGAUCCGUAGCUGGUCUGAGAGGAUGAUCAGCCACACUGGAACUGAGACACGGUCCAGACUCCUACGGGAGGCAGCAGUGGGGAAUAUUGGACAAUGGGCGCAAGCCUUAUCCAGCCAUACCGCGUGUGUGAAGAAGGCCUUCGGGUUGUAAAGCCCUUUUGCUGGGAAAGAAAAGCAGCAGGUUAAUACCCCGCUGUUCUGACGGUACCCAAAGAAUAAGCACCGGCUAACUUCGUG
rnacentral:rRNA from 1 species